rnacentral:rRNA from 1 species
ACUCCUACGGGAGGCAGCAGUGGGGAAUAUUGCGCAAUGGGGGCAACCCUGACGCAGCCAUGCCGCGUGAAUGAAGAAGGCCUUCGGUUGUAAAGUUCUUUCGGUAGCGAGGAAGGCACUUAGUUUAAUAGACUAGGUGAUUGACGUUAACUACAGAAGAAGCACCGGCUAACUCCGUGCCAGCAGCCGCGGUAAUACGGAGGGGUGCGAGCGUUAAUCGGAAUAACUGGGGCGUAAAGGGGCACGCAGGCGGACUUUAAGUGAGGUGUGAAAGCCCCGGGGCUUAACCUGGGGAAUUGCAUUUCAGACUGGGAGUCUAGAGUACUUUAGGGAGGGUAGAAUUCCACGUGUAGCGGUGAAAUGCGUAGAGAUGUGGAGGAAUACCGAAGGCG